rnacentral:tRNA from 1 species
GGAGAGGUGGCCGAGAGGCCGAAGGCACUCCCCUGCUAAGGGAGCAUGGGCCAAAAGCUCAUCGCGGGUUCGACUCCCGCCCUCUCCG